rnacentral:ncRNA from 1 species
ACGCUCUGUUAUCCCUGUCCUGAUGGCAUGGUGCAAUAGACCAGGUGCCGAACUGCCGUACCACGUCAUGCAGGUGCUCACCGGUCAUGGCCAAUUUCACACCUACAUGAUGAAAAUCGGCAGAACAAUGACUGAUAUGUGUAUACUGUGUGAUACCGGGGAAUCACUAUCAAAUAUCACUUUGAUUAAAUUAGAGUGCUUAAAGCAAGUGUAUUACUUGGAUAUAAAUGCAUGGAAUGAUGGAAUAUGUUGUUGUUCUAUUUGUUGGUUUUCGAACGAUGAAAUGAUUGAAAGGAACUGUUGGGGGCAUUCGUAUUGUUGUGAGAGAGGUGAAAUUCUUAGACCACAGCAAGACGAACUACUGCGAAAGCAUUUGCCAAGAAUGUUUUCAUUGAUCAAGAAUGAAAGUUAGAGGUUCGAAGGCGAUCAGAUACCACACCGUACGGAUAUGUGAAGCUCUAGGUGAGGUGAGAAGACAAUCAGUGCAUCAAGCAUUUGUAAAUCUAACCAUU